AUACCUGUAGUAGAGUUAACAACU
rnacentral:siRNA from 1 species